UCGAGAAUUUUUCUCAAUGGGGGCAACCCUGAAGGAGCGACGCCGCGUGGAGGAUGAAGGUCUUCGGAUUGUAAACUCCUGUCAUUGGUGAACAAGGCUGGGCGUUAACUGCGACCCAGUUUGAUAGUAGCCGAAGAGGAAGAGACGGCUAACUCUGUGCCAGCAGCCGCGGUAAUACAGAGGUCUCAAGCGUUGUUCGGAUUCAUUGGGCGUAAAGGGUGCGUAGGCGGCGGGGUAAGUCUGAUGUGAAAUCCCGGGGCUCAACCCUGGAACUGCAUUGGAUACUGCCUUGCUAGAGAACUGGAGAGGAGACUGGAAUUUACGGUGUAGCAGUGAAAUGCGUAGAGAUCGUAAGGAAGACCAGUGGCGAAGGCGAGUCUCUGGACAGUUCCUGACGCUGAGGCACGAAGGCCAGGGGAGCAAACGGGAUUAGAUACCCCCGUAGUCC
rnacentral:rRNA from 1 species